GACGAACGCUGGCGGCGUGCUUAACACAUGCAGGUCGAACGGAAAGGCCCUGCUUUUGUGGGGUGCUCGAGUGGCGAACGGGUGAGUAACACGUGAGUAACCUGCCCUUGACUUUGGGAUAACUUCAGGAAACUGGGGCUAAUACCGGAUAGGAGCUCCUGCUGCAUGGUGGGGGUUGGAAAGUUUCGGCGGUUGGGGAUGGACUCGCGGCUUAUCAGCUUGUUGGUGGGGUAGUGGCUUACCAAGGCUUUGACGGGUAGCCGGCCUGAGAGGGUGACCGGCCACAUUGGGACUGAGAUACGGCCCAGACUCCUACGGGAGGCAGCAGUGGGGAAUAUUGCACAAUGGGCGGAAGCCUGAUGCAGCAACGCCGCGUGCGGGAUGACGGCCUUCGGGUUGUAAACCGCUUUCGCCUGUGACGAAGCGUGAGUGACAGUAAUGGGUAAAGAAGCACCGGCUAACUACGUG
rnacentral:rRNA from 1 species